GACGAACGCUGGCGGCGUGCCUAAUACAUGCAAGUAGAACGCUGAAGGAGGAGCUUGCUUCUCUGGAUGAGUUGCGAACGGGUGAGUAACGCGUAGGUAACCUGCCUGGUAGCGGGGGAUAACUAUUGGAAACGAUAGCUAAUACCGCAUAAUAGUAGAUGUUGCAUGACAUUUGCUUAAAAGGUGCAAUUGCAUCACUACCAGAUGGACCUGCGUUGUAUUAGCUAGUUGGUGGGGUAACGGCUCACCAAGGCGACGAUACAUAGCCGACCUGAGAGGGUGAUCGGCCACACUGGGACUGAGACACGGCCCAGACUCCUACGGGAGGCAGCAGUAGGGAAUCUUCGGCAAUGACGGAAGUCUGACCGAGCAACGCCGCGUGAGUGAAGAAGGUUUUCGGAUCGUAAAGCUCUGUUGUAAGAGAAGAACGAGUGUGAGAGUGGAAAGUUCACACUGUGACGGUAUCUUACCAGAAAGGGACGGCUAACUACGU
rnacentral:rRNA from 1 species